rnacentral:tRNA from 1 species
GCUAACGUAGCUUAAACAAAGCAUAACACUGAAGUUGUUAAGAUGGGCCCUAGAAAGCUCCGCAGGCA